rnacentral:rRNA from 1 species
UCUAAGUAUAAACGAUUUAAUCGUGAAACCGCGAAUGGCUCAUUAUAACAGCUAAAAUCUACUUGAUCUUGACACAAUCCUACUUGGAUAACUGUGGUAAUUCUAGAGCUAAUACAUGCAUUAAAGCUCUGACCUCACGGGACGAGUGCAUUUAUUAGAACAAAACCAAGCGGCUUCGGCUGUUUUCGGUUGACUCAUAGUAACUGAGCUGAUCGCAUGGUCUUGCACCGGCGACGUGUCUUUCGAGUAUCUGCCGUAUCAACUUUCGAUGGUAGUGUAUCUGACUACCAUGGUGAUCACGCGUAACGGAGAAUAAGGGUUCGACUCCGGAGAGUUCGCCUGAGAAAUCGCGAACACAUCUAAGGAAGGCAGCAGGCGCGAAAAUUACCCACUCUCAGCACGAGGAGGUAGUGACGAAAAAUAACGAGACCGUUCUCUUUCGAGGCCGGUCAUCGGAAUGGGUACAAUUUAAA